UACAGAGGGUGCGAGCGUUAAUCGGAAUUCCUGGGCGUAAAGCGCGCGUAGGCGGCUUUGCAAGUCGGGUGUUAAAUCCCCAGGCUUAACCUGGGAACUGCAUUCGAGACUGCGUUGCUAGAGUAUGGGAGAGGGAAGUGGAAUUUCCGGUGUAGCGGUGAAAUGCGUAGAUAUCGGAAGGAACAUCAGUGGCGAAAGCGACUUCCUGGACCAAUACUGACGCUCAUGUGCGAAAGCGUGGGGAGCAAACAGG
rnacentral:rRNA from 1 species